UGAAAUUCGCCUUCCAUGAAGCCGGAAUUGCUAGUAAUGGCAGGUCAGCAUACUGCCGUGAAUACGUUCCCGGGCCUUGUACACACCGCCCGUCACACCAUGAGAGUUGGGAAUACCCGAAGCCUGUGAGCUAACGUAAGAGGCAGCAGUCGAAGGUAGAAUCAAUGAUUGGGGUGAAGUCGUAACAAGGUAGC
rnacentral:rRNA from 1 species